GUAGGUGCGAACGUUAUCCGGAAUUAUUGGGCGUAAAGGAUGCGUAGAUGGUGUAGUAAGUUAUCGGUGGCAAAUCGAGGCUCAACCUCGUGGAAGUCGGUAAUACUGCUAUGCUAGAGGAUAGGAGAGGUUAACGGAACUCCCUGUGGAGCGGUGAAAUGCGUAGAUAUAGGGAAGAACACCAAUCAGGCGAAGGCAGUUAACUAUUCUAUUCCUGACAUUGAGGCAUGAAAGCGUGGGGAGCAAAACGGAUUAGAUACCCGUGUAGUCCACGCCCUAAACGAUGAGUGCUAGAUGUUGGACUUUUCAGUUCAGUGUCGCUAGGUAACCCGGUAAGCACUCCGCCUGGGUAGUACGCUCGCAAGAGUG
rnacentral:rRNA from 1 species